AAGAACCUUACCUGCCCUUGACAUCCUUUUGACCGGCGAGUAAUGUCGCCUUUCCUUCGGGACAGAAGAGACAGGUGGUGCAUGGUUGUCGUCAGCUCGUGUCGUGAGAUGUUGGGUUAAGUCCCGCAACGAGCGCAACCCUUAUCUUUAGUAGCCAGCGGUUUGGCCGGGCACUCUAGAGAGACUGCCAGGGAUAACCUGGAGGAAGGUGGGGAUGACGUCAAAUCAUCAUGCCCCUUAUGGGCAGGGCUACACACGUGCUACAAUGGCGUAAACAAAGGGAAGCGAGCCCGCGAGGGGGAGCGAAUCUCAAAAAUAACGUCUCAGUUCGGAUUGUAGUCUGCAACUCGACUACAUGAAGCUGGAAUCGCUAGUAAUCGCGAAUCAGAAUGUCGCGGUGAAUACGUUCCCGGGUCUUGUACACACCG
rnacentral:rRNA from 1 species